UAAUACGGAGGGUGCAAGCGUUAUCCGGAAUCACUGGGUUUAAAGGGUGCGUAGGCGGCCUUGUAAGUCAGUCGUGAAAUCGCUGGGCUCAACCCAUGCAAUUGCGAUUGAUACUGCGAGACUUGAAUGGGGUUAAGGCAGGCGGAAUGUGGCAUGUAGCGGUGAAAUGCAUAGAUAUGCCAUAGAACACCGAUUGCGAAGGCAGCCUGCUGGGCCUUUAUUGACGCUGAGGCACGAAAGCGUGGGGAGCAAACAGGAUUAGAUACCCUGGUAGUCCACGCCCUAAACGAUGUUUACUUGCUGUUUGCCCUUUGGGGUGAGUGGCGUAGCGAAAGCGAUAAGUAAACCACCUGGGGAGUACGCCGGCAACGGUG
rnacentral:rRNA from 1 species